GUAGUUCCUAGCAUUGCCUUUCCCUUUCGCCAUCCACAAGUCAUUCAGCAUUCAGCUCUUCCUAUCUCCUCAUAGGAGUUCAGUUACUACUUCUGCAUCCUCUCUCUUAAAGAGGUUUUGCUGUGAGACCUUGUUAGUGGGAGGAAGAGGGAAUUCUAAAAGCAUAAAUUAUAUAAAUUGAAGUGCCACAAUUUUUUUACUCAUCCAAAGGAGAAGGAGCAAGAAGGGGUAUGGUCAGAAGUGUUUUCAUGUAAUUUUUUAAGAGUUAAUAAAGGGUUUAGUGAAGUUGAUUGUUGAGGUUGAUAGGGUUUAGAUUUUUUAAAUACAUCUAUAUUAUUUUCUUUGACUGUGAAGUUUCAAUGAAACACAAUUUUAAUAUAUCAAAAAUUAAGUUAUAUGGAAUUAUAGCGUUAUGUUAAAUAGUCCUUGUUAAGCAAAUCUUUGUUUUGACCCAGAACAAGCCCGACAUUAUAGAGGGUCUUCUCCACUAGUUGAGUUCCUGUUGACUCAUUUUUACCAGUUCUUUAAGGCAGGGAUUUUUUGCUCUAUCGCUGUUGGUUGAUUGGAUGAGUAUUCUGAUAGGAGAGAGCGGAUUGAUUCUCAUUCUGUUGUAAACUCAGAAAUGGUGGCAAACUUCAUCUACCCUGAUGGUGUAGAGCACUGAAAGAUAUGCAGCUCUUAACCUAGCUGAUGACUUUCACUAGCCUAUUAAGGGAAGAGACAUCACAUCUGGCAGGAGAAAGGCUUCAGUGUGAAGUCAACAGUUAACCUGUUGAUCUGCCCCGUGACCUUCAGCAUGUGUGCUCUUGCCGAUCAGUCAGGGAUUGUACGUGCUGCCUCUUGCCCAGUUGGUAAUGAGGGAAAAUAGGAAGGAAUUGGCAAUGUUAUUCACAUGUCUGGGGUGAGACUGGAGACUUUAUAAAGUGUGAAGGGUAAGAUCAAAAAGAAUACAGCCGUGUGGUGGCACAGGGCAUAGAAAUUAGGGAAAUGCCAAGUUGAAUCAUCUUUCUACACAGUGUGUUUCCACUUGACUGAUGAUAAAGUUGAUGAGAUCUGUGAAGUGAUAGUACUGAAGAGGUCUGUCUUUUUUGUUCUUUUUCUUUGUUACUAUUUUUCAAAUCAUGCUUUAGAAUACAGUAGAUUUUCUCAUGUUUGAGUCUGGAAGCUAAUUUGCCUCUCAUAAGGAAUAUGAGAGUGCAAACAGCUUUUGGUGUUCUUAUUCAGACCUGGGUGCUGAAGAAUUCUGUUCUUGUUUUUCAGAUAUUGAAAAAUAUCACCUGGUAUGCUGAGCGUGUUUUAACAGAGAUCUCACUUGGGAGUCUCCUGAUAUUAGUUGUGAUAAGAACCAUCCAGUACAACAUGACACGGACAAGGGACAAAUACCUUCAUACAAAUUGUCUGGCAGCCUUAGCAAAUAUGUCAGCACAGUUCCGCUCACUUCAUCAGUAUGCGGCUCAGAGGAUCAUCAGGUAAAUAUAAAGACUCUCAAAACUCAUCUUUGAAACUCAGAAGUAGAGGAACUUGAAUUCUGUAUUCCCUAAUAGAUACCAAUGAAGUAAAUAGAUGAAAUGCUAACUGAAUUACUAAACAAUCCUAGAAUAAACCAAUUUGCUUUA